CCUACGGGAGGCAGCAGUGGGGAAUAUUGCACAAUGGGGGAAACCCUGAUGCAGCGACGCCGCGUGAGUGAAGAAGUAUUUCGGUAUGUAAAGCUCUAUCAGCAGGGAAGAAAAUGACGGUACCUGAUUAAGAAGCACCGGCUAACUACGUGCCAGCAGCCGCGGUAAUACGUAGGGGGCAAGCGGUAUCCGGAUUUACUGGGUGUAAAGGGAGCGUAGACGGCAGCACAAGGCUGGAGGGAAAUGCCGGGGCUUAACCCCGGAACUGCUUUGGAAACUGUGCAGCUAGAGUGCAGGAGAGGUAAGUGGAAGGCCUAGUGUAGCGGUGAAAUGCGUAGAUAUUAGGAGGAACACCAGUGGCGAAGGCGGCUUACUGGACUGUAACUGACGUUGAGGCUCGAAAGCGUGGGGAGCGAACAGGAUUAGAUACCCCAGUAGUC
rnacentral:rRNA from 1 species